AACGAACGCUGGCGGCAUGCCUAACACAUGCAAGUCGAACGCGUGUAGCAAUACACGAGUGGCGGACGGGUGAGUAACGCGUGGGAACCUGCCCAGUGGUAGGGAAUAACUGCGGGAAACUGCAGCUAAUACCCUAUGCACCCUACGGGGGAAAGAUUUAUCGCCAUUGGAGGGGCCCGCGUCGGAUUAGCUAGUUGGUAGGGUAACGGCCUACCAAGGCUACGAUCCGUAGCUGGUCUGAGAGGAUGAUCAGCCACACUGGGACUGAGAUACGGCCCAGACUCCUACGGGAGGCAGCAGUGGGGAAUAUUGGACAAUGGGGGAAACCCUGAUCCAGCAAUGCCGCGUGAGUGAAGAAGGCCUUAGGGUUGUAAAGCUCUUUCGGCGGGGACGAUGGUGACGGUACCCGCAGAAGAAGCCCCGGCUAACUUCGUGCCAGCAGCCGCGGUAAAAC
rnacentral:rRNA from 1 species